AAUGAACGCUGGCGGCGUGCCUAACACAUGCAAGCGAGCGAGAAAGCACCCUUCGGGGUGUGAGUAAAGCGGCGAACGGGUGAGUAACACGUGGGUAAUCUGCCUAGGAGCGGGGGAUAACCUGGGGAAACUCGGGCUAAUACCGCAUACGUCUUCGGGGUUGCGGCCUCGAAGGGAAAGCUGGCCUCUACACGUAAGCUGGCACUCCUAGAGGAGCCCGCGGUCGAUUAGCUCGAUGGUGGGGUAACGGCCUACCAUGGCGACGAUCGAUAGCCGGCCUGAGAGGGUGAUCGGCCACACUGGGACUGAGACACGGCCCAGACUCCUACGGGAGGCAGCAGUGGGGAAUAUUGGACAAUGGGGGAAACCCUGAUCCAGCAACGCCGCGUGGAGGAUGAAGGCCUUCGGGUCGUAAACUCCUGUCAGAUGGGACGAAAUCGCGUCGCUCAAUAAGCGGCGCGUCUGACGGUACCAUCAGAGGAAGCCCCGGCUAACUCCGUG
rnacentral:rRNA from 1 species